rnacentral:rRNA from 1 species
UGGGGAAUAUUGCACAAUGGAGGGAACUCUGAUGCAGCGACGCCGCGUGAACGAAGAAGGUUUUCGAGUCGUAAAGUUCUUUUAUAUGGGAAGAUAAUGACGGUACCAUAAGAAAAAGCCCCGGCUAACUACGUGCCAGCAGCCGCGGUAAUACGUAGGGGGCUAGCGUUGUCCGGAAUCACUGGGCGUAAAGGGUUCGCAGGCGGAAAUGCAAGUCAGGUGGAAAAGGCAGUAGCUUAACUACUGUAAGCAUUUGAAACUGCAUAUCUUGAGAAGAGUAGGGGUAAGUGGAAUUUUUAGUGUGGCGGUGAAAUGCGUAGAUAUUAAAAAGAAUACCGGUGGCGAAGGCGACUUACUGGGCUCAUUCUGACGCUGAGGAACGAAAGCGUGGGUAGCAAACAGG